UGCAGUCGAACGGUAGAGGAGCAAUCCUCGAGAGUGGCGAACGGGUGAGUAAUACAUCGGAACGUGCCCAGUCGUGGGGGAUAACGUAGCGAAAGCUACGCUAAUACCGCAUACGACCCGAGGGUGAAAGCGGGGGACUCGCAAGAGCCUCGCGCGAUUGGAGCGGCCGAUGGCAGAUUAGGUAGUUGGUGGGGUAAAGGCCCACCAAGCCUGCGAUCUGUAGCUGGUCUGAGAGGACGACCAGCCACACUGGGACUGAGACACGGCCCAGACUCCUACGGGAGGCAGCGGUGGGGAAUUUUGGACAAUGGGCGAAAGCCUGAUCCAGCCAUACCGCGUGCGGGAAGAAGGCCUUCGGGUUGUAAACCGCUUUUGUCAGGGAAGAAAUACUUCGGGCUAAUACCCUGGGGUGAUGACGGUACCUGAAGAAUAAGCACCGGCUAACUACGUGCCAGCAGCCGCGGUAAUACGUAGGGUGCAAGCGUUAAUCGGAAUUACUGGGCGUAAAGCGUGCGCAGGCGGUUCUAUAAGACAGAUGUGAAAUCCCCGGGCUCAACCUGGGAACUGCAUUUGUGACUGUAGAGCUAGAGUACGGUAGAGGGGGGAUGGAAUUCCGCGUGUAGCAGUGAAAUGCGUAGAUAUGCGGAGGAACACCGAUGGCGAAGGCAAUCCCCUGGACCUGUACUGACGCUCAUGCACGAAAGCGUGGGGAGCAAACAGGA
rnacentral:rRNA from 1 species